GUGAGGAAUUUUCCGCAAUGGGCGAAAGCCUGACGGAGCAAUGCCGCGUGAAGGAUGAAGGCCUAUGGGUUGUAAACUUCUUUUCUCAGAAAAGAAUUAUGACGGUAUCUGAGGAAUAAGCAUCGGCUAACUCUGUGCCAGCAGCCGCGGUAAGACAGAGGAUGCAAGCGUUAUCCGGAAUGAUUGGACGUAAAGCGUCUGUAGGUUGUUUAAAAAGUAUUCUGUCAAAGAUUAGGGCUUAACCCUAGAUAGGCAGAAUAAACUUUUAAGCUAGAGUUUGGUAGAGGCAGAGGGAAUUCCCGGUGGAGCGGUGAAAUGCGUAGAUAUCGGGAGGAACACCAAAGGCGAAGGCACUCUGCUGGGCCAAUACUAACACUGAGAGACGAAAGCGAGGGGAGCAAAUGGGAUUAGAAACCCUAGUAGUCC
rnacentral:rRNA from 1 species